CUUGUUCCUUGAGCGCUUAAAUUGCUUUUACUCUUAUAUUCUGUUUCUUUUUCCUAUCUUUUUGGGAACUAUAUUCCAUUUUCCCAAGCAUAAUUUACUGUUUUCCACUGUCAUAAAAGAGGUUGGCUUAGGAGUUGGACCACCCAAGUGUUGACUAUUAAGUCAAAUAGGAUGGAGUGGGAGGUCUGGACUUGUUGGUUUUAUUUAUUUAUUUAUAGCUUUGGAGGUGAGUGUAGUUCCCAGGAGGUUGCCAAAGUUCUGUGGAAUGGGGAGUUUAUUUCAAUUCACCUCCAGCUAAUGGAUGCAAGCCCAAGAGCUUCAGUUGCUUUUGAUCCAACUGUGACUCCACUUGUUUUUCUUUCUGUCUAGGAAUCUUUUUUAAAGCAGCUCCAUGACAAUGGUACCUCUGUUUCAUUCUAACAGGACGUGCCAAUAAUUCCAUUCUUCAGAUGUACAAAAGAGGCUUUUUAAGAAAAACAGUUUUGCAAGUACAAGUCACUGUGGGUCUCCCGGAUCUCUGUUGUGUUGGCUCCUUAUACUCCCAACAAGAAGAUGGAAGCUGCUAUUUGUUCCAUUCUUCAAAAAAAAUUAUGAGAAGUUCUUCUGUACUCUUUUUCUAUACUUUGAUUUCUCCAAAAAGCAGAGGGUAACAGAGAAUGAGAUACUGUAUAUACUACUAGUGCCUAAUAGGGUGGAUUGAUUGCACAAAAUUUGUCAUAAUUUUAGCCACAGGAGACAGAAAAGGAGGCAUUCCUUACAAGCAGUCAAUCUGGUUAGCUCCUAACCUGCAUCCAGAAAUUGUGCUGUAAGGCUCAGAAAACUUCUCAUAUCUGAUAGCAGAUAUUGGAUAGCAAUCCCAUGUCACCAAGACUCAUGCAAGAUCGGAAGAGAACAUCGAUCAAAUUACUAUGACCUCUAUGGACCACCUCCCAGGGUAAUCAGCAGUGUGUAUCCUAGUUCUCUACCAGAAGAAAAGGGUUUUCUGUUUCUGUUUGUGCUAUGCUUCUAGAAAAAAAGGCAAUAUUUGUAACAGUGCUACAGUGGACAAAGACUCCAACUGUGGUUACAACAGUCACCUAGGGAGCAAUUCAAGUUCCUAAAUAAAGGCAUCUAAUAUGUUUCCUAAACUAUGGAGUAUUGCACAGUGCUAGCAGAGAUAAUGCAGAGCCUAUGGGAUAACUUUCUUAUUCUCUAAUAAUAGCUGCUAACCAGUCUGGAAUUUCAUAGACACUUGAGUUUAGUCACCUAAAAUACUCUUCUGGUAAUAUCUGGGAUUGAAAUGGGUAGACUGAUAGCUGAUAGUGGAGAAAUAGCGUAGGUAUAGAGAUCUUAUUAGUCAAGUGAACAGUGAUUAGUCAAGUGAUGAUAAUACUAAAAGUAUUACACCUAUCCUAUCAGGUGUUGUUCCUCAACAGGGCACAGAGCAAUGUCUUUUUCCUAUAGUUUUAACUAUCAUUUUCCAAGUGACAAAUAUCUACUAAUCUUUUCUUCUUUUUUUUCUCUGCUUCUUACAUUCUCAUCUCUUUCUAAAGGCAACUGAUGCAGUGUAGGAUUUUGAACAAGCUCAUCAAGAUCAUGCCAAAGCUGAUCUGGAAAUAUCUGUUGUUCCUUAUUUGGGAAUAAACUGUAACCAGCCAUAUUCAACUAGCUUUUCUUGCAUGCCCUGGUUGAGUUUGGUCCUUUUUCCUGACAUCCAGGAUACCCAACAUACAAAAGGACCUGUGAUUUGCAGUGAGAUCUGAGGUGAAUCAUCAUAAAGGAGUAAACUGUGAUAGAGAUGCUUUGAUGUGGAAGACAGAACUUUCUUCUACGAUUGGACUUCUAGACAUCACAAAGUUUAAUAGAAGGACUUCUAGAACAGUCAUGUUGCAAACUUGGUGUCCCUCAUGGGAGGAGGUUGAGAGGGUGAGACAGAUGUUUGCCACAUAAUGGACCAAAAUUUUCAAGAGAUCCUGGAGUCAUAAGCAGCAGUGGUAAGACCUAUGAUGACCGAAAUAUUUCAAAGUGAUUGCUGAAACUUGUUGCAAACAGCAGACAUAAGCAUGAAUUUAAUAUGAAGAAUGUCCAAAGGAUGAGCAUGCAGCACAAAAAGCAAGCAUUGACAAGGAAGGUACCUUGGCAUAUGGUCUUGGACAGCACAUCCUGGGCAGAAGGGGCAGCAUGGAAGGUGACACUAAGGCACCUGUGUGGCUUUGAAGAAGGAGGCAGGAGAUACAGAUUGGAAUGCACGUGGCCAGUAUGAUGUGAGUUCAAAUCAAGGACUUACUGUGAAGGGGCCAGAAUUAGUUUCAGAUGACAUCAUUUUAAUUACCAAUUAUAUUUAGCAUAUGUGGUAAUAUGGUCUGAGACCUUACAUAUAUUUAAUUCUGCGAAUUUCAGUAUGUAUCUACAGCUUGCGAAAGCAAACCUACCUAGGAACAUUGCCUCUCUGUGAACUCCAAAGGUGGUUCUGCAAAAAAGGUUACAUACCACAGCCAAAGGUGCUGUUUUGUUUUGUUUCAUAUCCAAGUCCAAAGGUGAUGUUAUUAUUGAUUUAUUUAUUCUUAUUCAAGGUCAUUCUUUUUAAUGUAGUAUGCUAAAAAUAAAAUAGCGUACUUAUAUAUUCGGGCUUAAUUCGUAUUUGGAGACAUGAAGGUAUUUGGUUCAUAUUUAUCAAAUUGAGUGAUUAUAUUGGAAAUUAAUAGUAAGCACUUCUAGUGCAUUGCAUUAUGGCAUAGAUCUUUAUACAGUCUGAAAUUCCCAUAGAAUUUUUUUGCCAAUGUUUAAAUACUGCUCCUGAACUAUCUUAAUACCUCACUACACAUUGAUGAGCUGAAAAAGAAAAUCUCUUGUAAUCUUAAUGCGUGAGACCUUUUACUAUCUUUGUGUACAGUGAACUCAGAAAUAUAACACCAAAUACCUGAAAUUUUGAAUAAUAAUCAUAACAUCAUCUUCAUGUUGGUAAGUAGCCUGAGCCUUUAAAGUGAGGUGCAGGGAAGGUUAAACUAGCUUAAGUCACAUUAUUAUCAUGACUGAUAACGUUGGGAUUGAGACUCACCACCCUUCAAAGUGUUCCUUCUACUUUUAAAAAUCCUGAUAUAUUUUGCUACCAGUAAAGCACAAAUUUCAUGUGAGUAUCUGUGGGAUCAGUUGACCAGUAAAUCUCUAAUUUUUUUUUUAAUAUAGAAAGUCAUAAUCUUUUAUAGAAAGUCUAGUGAAGAAAAAAAAAAAAGAGAGACUUUUCUUAACAGUCAAAAAAGAUUUUCCUUUUCACCCUAUAAUUGGUAAAUGCUGAAGAAGAUGAUUGAAAUUACAGAUAGUUAUAUCUACAGUCUAAAAGGAGACACUCCAUAUACAGCUCCCAUAGUAAAAGGUGACAGAAUAGCCAGAUAAGUAUUACAAUCUGCCAGAGAAGCCCAGUUCCUGAACUGCCACAUCUUACUGAGAGAGAUUUUAGAUUUCAGAUGUAAUAGACAUUUUCUGUGGAAGGCCUGCUCUACCUCUUUCCUACUUAUUCUCUAAAAUGCCUAAAUUUUGGUUGAAAAAUGUUUUAGCAGAAAAUAUUUGACUAACAUACUUGCAGCACUCUCCAUGAGGAAAAGGUGAUCUAUUCAAAAGUGUUUAAAGCCAGAUCUCUGUUCUGCAGGGAAGCUGUGACACAGUUUAGAUCCAGUGGCAUCUAGAUGUCAGGGCUGAGAAGACUUUGGGAACAAUUUCCUCUUCUUCUUGUCUUUUAGUUUUCUAUCUCUUCUCCCUCAAGUAAUUUUUACUGCUGUAUGCAGGGCUGCACUACCAGCCUGAGAGAGAACUGGCUGUGUGUAGGAGGAGUGCAAAUGUCUCUAAUUUUAUUUCAAAUGUUUUUGUAGUAAAUUCCCAUGUACUAUUGUCCCAUCAUUACUGUGUGAGAUAUGAACCUGCACCUUCACAUUUUACCCAAUUUGCUUUCCUUUUGUUAAAGAGUUCCAAAUAUACAGCUUUAAUUUUACUGCCAUGGUAGUAACUAGAACACAGGAAGUUCCAUACAAAUGCAAAGAAGAAAAUCUGCACUGUCAGAAGGAUGGAGUACAGGAACAGGCUGCCUGAAAAGGUUGUGGAGUCUCCUUCUCUGGAGAUGUUCAAGACA